AUGGACGCUGCACUGGUGCUGCUCCUGAGCCUGCAGGCCUUGGCGGGACUUGCUCAGCUGACCCCAUCGGGGAUCUCUAAUCCGGUAUCUGCUGGUCUCCCCACCGUCUCAGGGAGUCUCCCCACCGCCUCAGGGAGUCUCCCCACCAUCUCAGGGAGUCUCCCCACCGCCUCUGCGGGUCUCCCCACCGUCUCAGGGAGUCUCCCCACCGCCUCUGCGGGUCUCCCCACCGUCUCAGGGAGUCUCCCCACCGCCUCUGCGGGUCUCCCCACCGUCUCAGGGAGUCUCCCCACCGCCUCUGCUGGUCUCCCCACCGUCUCAGGGAGUCUCCCCACCGCCUCUGCGGGUCUCCCCACCGUCUCAGGGAGUCUCCCCACCGCCUCUGCGGGUCUCCCCACCGCCUCAGGGAGUCUCCCCACCAUCUCAGGGAGUCUCCCCACCGCCUCUGCUGGUCUCCCCACCGUCUCAGGGAGUCUCCCCACCGCCUCUGCGGGUCUCCCCACCGUCUCAGGGAGUCUCCCCACUGCCUCUGCGGGUCUCCCCACCGUCUCAGGGAGUCUCCCCACCGCCUCUGCGGGUCUCCCCACCGCCUCAGGGAGUCUCCCCACCAUCUCAGGGAGUCUCCCCACCGCCUCUGCUGGUCUCCCCACCGUCUCAGGGAGUCUCCCCACCGCCUCUGCGGGUCUCCCCACCGUCUCAGGGAGUCUCCCCACUGCCUCUGCGGGUCUCCCCACCGUCUCAGGGAGUCUCCCCACCGCCUCUGCGGGUCUCCCCACCGUCUCAGGGAGUCUCCCCACCGCCUCAGGGAGUCUCCCCACCAUCUCAGGGAGUCUCCCCACCACCUCUGCGGGUCUCCCCACUGUCUCUGCGAGUUUCUCAACAGUUUCUUCAGCCUCUGGGGGUUUUUCGGGUAGUCCUCAGACUUUGGCUCCGACCAUUUCUGGGAGCACUUCAGGAACAGUCUCAACAUUGCCAGGUAACAUUUCUGUUGCUCAACCCAUCUCUGAAGAACUCUUUAGCUGUAGCUCUGGGGCGGGGGUCCUUCCUGUGCUCCACCGCGGGUACUCAGCAGUGCCCCAGAACCUCCUGGACCAGGGCCCUGGCCUUGGUGGCUGUACAAGGACCCCCUUCUUUGCUUUCAAUUUAUCAACCUUUUCUCUUGUGGUUGGUGUCUUCUGUAUCCUGCCUCAGGCUUUUUUUUUUUUUGCCUACCUCAAGGUCAUGAAAAUAUUCUCCUACAUUUCCUUCCAGAAGCUGUCUUAUUUUAGCUUUCAAGUUUAA
rnacentral:lncRNA from 1 species